UACGUAGGGUGCAAGCGUUAAUCGGAAUUACUGGGCGUAAAGCGUGCGCAGGCGGUUGUGCAAGACCGAUGUGAAAUCCCCGGGCUUAACCUGGGAAUGGCAUUGGUGACUGCACGGCUAGAGUGUGUCAGAGGGGGGUAGAAUUCCACGUGUAGCAGUGAAAUGCGUAGAUAUGUGGAGGAACACCGAUGGCGAAGGCAGCCCCCCUGGGUCAAGACUGACGCUCAUGCACGAAAGCGUGGGGAGCAAACAGG
rnacentral:rRNA from 1 species